UACGGGGGGAGCAAGCGUUGUUCGGAUUUACUGGGCGUAAAGGGCGCGUAGGCGGCCAUCACAGGUCAGUUGUGAAAUCUCCGAGCUUAACUCGGAAAGGUCAACUGAUACUGUGCGGCUAGAGUGCGGAAGGGGCAACUGGAAUUCUUGGUGUAGCGGUGAAAUGCGUAGAUAUCAAGAGGAACACCUGCGGCGAAGGCGGGUCUCUGGGCCGAUACUGACGCUGAGGAGCGAAAGCGUGGGGAGCGAACAGG
rnacentral:rRNA from 1 species